AACAUCAACAUGAAAUAUUAUGCAAAUCUCUUUUCCUCAGUUUUGUUUUUGUUGGCACAAAAUAAUGAUAUUACAAACAAUUUUAUGACAUUUACUCAAAGAAUAUUAUUUGAAUAAGGUCGAUUGAUAAUAGUUCCAUAUUUAGUCUAUUUGAACCGUAUAUUACUUUUUCAUUAUUCAAAUUCAUUACCGUGUUAUGAUGAUGUACCCAGGAGUUGAAGGAUGCUCUGAUGCCUUUAGUAAACUGCAGAAAUCCUCUUCAGAGAGAGCGUUGUAUGGCCUGAACUACACUACAUAACCCUCUCUCUCCCUGUAUACCUAGGUUGUGACUAAAACUUUAUAACAUAGCACUUCCUGUAUCUGAAGAACAGUUUGUGGUGUGGAAGUUAUCUAUGUGUUUGCAUAUUUUCUUCCCAUUUCCUUGUCACAGUGACAUUUGUGUCCCUUUACACACUGUCUGAUUCACUCAGGCAGGCCACUUUCUGCCUAACCUGCUCGGUUGUGAAAUAUGUAAACAUAUGACUUAGUUACUUAGAGACCAGGUUCUAUAUAGUGCACCGAAAACGUAUUUGAGAUAGUGACCAUGUUAUUAUUGGAUCUAGAGUUACCUAUAGUGUUGGGAACCUGUCAUCUGGUCCCAAUGUAUCCAGAGCCCCUUAUUUCGAUUUUCUUGUGUUCUUGUCCAAAUAGGUCCAGUAAGAAGCAACACUACACUGAAAAUCAGCACUCGUCUGGGAAGAAACAGAUACAAGGAGCAGUGUGUUUCCAUACAGGGAUGAUUUUGUGGACUUGGUUGGCGCAUUGCAAUGAGUACAACCAGGCUGAAGAUGUGGAUGCCUUCGCCAGGGACCCGUCCAUUCUCCGCUUUAAAUGUCUCAAUAUUGCUAGAGGUUCUGAUCGCGGGGCACAACAAGCCUGAGGACUCAACAGGAGCUGGAAGAGCUUUAUGAUGUCUUCACGGGUUUCUCAAAGCUAGAGGUUCUGAUCGCAGUGCACACCAAGCCUGAGGACUCAACAGGAGCUAGAUGAGCUUUAUGAUGUCUUCAUGGAAGUGAAAAAUAAAUUGAAGACUGAUACGGGUCCUACGUUUCUAACAAGGACACGAAAACCGCUGCAGUGACAUGUCCACCGGCUGAUUAAAGAUGACUGAUACCACAGCGAACACAGGCAACGAGAACACUUGACAGGUGGCUCGCUGAUUUAAAAAACACGUCUGAAAAUGGUCGAUCACCUAUGGAGAUAACGUGUACAUUUAUUUUUUUGGGGGGGUGGUGUUGUUAAAAUGUCAUAAGGUGUUAUAAACCACAUUUACUUGUGUAA